UACGUAGGGUGCGAGCGUUAAUCGGAAUACUGGGCGUAAAGCGUGCGCAGGCGGUGAUGUAAGACAGAUGUGAAAUCCCCGGGCUUAACCUGGGAACUGCAUUGGUGACUGGCAGGCUUUGAGUGUGGCAGAGGGGGGUAGAAUUCCACGUGUAGCAGUGAAAUGCGUAGAGAUGUGGAGGAAUACCGAUGGCGAAGGCAGCCCCCUGGGCCAACACUGACGCUCAUGCACGAAAGCGUGGGGAGCAAACAGG
rnacentral:rRNA from 1 species